rnacentral:lncRNA from 1 species
AAGUAGGAGGAUAAUUUCUUUUUCUAUUUUCUUGUUUCCUUCUUCCAUUCUUACCUCAAAUUUCACCACCAACCUUGCUCUUUCUUAAAUUCCAUUCUAAAAACCUCUACUCCAGCUAGUUUCCUUCAUCAUUUUCUUCCAACCACAACUUAAAAGUUUGUUGGGUAGAGUGAGAAAGCUUGAUUAUGAGUAAGAGAAAUGAUUUUUCCAUCAUCUCAUCAUGUUUAAAUUGAUUUUUUAUUUGCUUAGAAAGUAGUUAAGCCAUAUUAAUGGCUAUUUAUUAUUAUUAAUAUAAGUAUUUAUCGUCUAAUAAAGAGAAAGAAGUAGAGAGAGGGACUACAAGCAAUGUAAGGGAAAGCUUGUAGAUUGAGGAGACUUUUCUCUUAUUUUGGUAUAUUAAUGGUAAUUUCUUGUGGAAAUUUCAAGUUUCUUUGUUUAAAUGUGUUGUGUGCUUGAAUGGGUGAAUAUAAAUUAGCAUAUUAAUUCAUAAUGGUAAUUUUUAAUGUUGGCCAAGUGUAAAGAGUGUUGAAAUGGAGCUAUAGUUAAACUAAUGAGUUAUCAAACAUUUUAUAUUGUUUUGCAGUGAUAUGUAUGACUAGUGGACAUAAUUUCCAUGAUUGAAGUUUCAUGAAGUGGUGAUAACUAUGGUUGUGAUCAUUGAAAUUGUAUAUCAAUAAAAGUGUUAUGAAAUAGUUAAUGUGAUUUUUAAAAAAAAUGAAUUGAGAAUCUUAUAAUGCCUUUGUAAACUUAGUUAAAUAGCUAGGAUAUGGUUGACAUGUCAAUAAGGUAUGCAUAUGUUAGAAGAUGCAGUUUGAAACUAUGAUUGAUGCCAUAAGGCAAGUGUAUAUAGAUCCAUUUCUAUAGUAUUCAAAUGAUAACGCUUUUAGCAUAGUAUUUCAGAGAGUUUGGUUGGUUUGCCCCAAAUAUAUGAAAUUUGUUUUGCUAAGCUUACUAAGGACAACAAAAAUAAAAAUAUUGAAAAUGGAUUAUUCGGAGUAAAUUGAAUGUUAUAUGUCACUAUGAUAAAUACCAUAUUUUAUUAGUUCUUAUACCAUGGAUGGUAUUAAUGUAAUUGCAUAAAUAAUUAGAUUUGUUACCUUUAUAUGAGAAUUUUUUUUUUUUUUUUACAAUUCCUCCUCAUUUAUGCAAUCAUUAUCAAAGAGUUAAACUUUACACAUUGACCAAAAACAUGGUGGGAUGAGGUAAGUGUUUGUGAUUUCCAUUUGAACUUACUAAGUUGGUGCUUAUGCGUCGUUUUUGCGCGUAG